UGUAUCGGUCAACAGCUGCUUUAUUUUAAGUAGAGGAAAGUCCACGCUAACACAAUCUGAGAUGAUUGUAGUGUUCAUGCUGAAUCUAAUAAAUUCAGGCUUAGACGACUAGUGCCACAGAGACGAGAGUUGUGAAACGGGUAAACUCCAUGAGUUAGAAACCCAAAUUUAGGUAGGGGAACUCUUCAAAGAGAAAUGAAUUAAUGAAGAGAACUUUUUUAUAAAGUUAGAUAAAUUGUUGACGCCUUUUACUAAGGUACAAAACGUGGCUUAUAGAU
rnacentral:RNase_P_RNA from 2 species